rnacentral:rRNA from 1 species
GAUGAACGCUAGCGGCAGGCUUAAUACAUGCAAGUCGAGGGGCAGCAUGGUUGUAGCAAUACAACUGAUGGCGACCGGCAAACGGGUGCGGAACACGUACGCAAUCUACCCAGAACUGAUGAAUAGCCCUCCGAAAGGAGGAUUAAUACAUCGUAACAUAAUUGAAUGGCAUCAUUUAAUUAUUAUAGCUCCGGCGGUUUUGGAUGAGCGUGCGCCUGAUUAGGUAGUUGGCGGGGUAACGGCCCACCAAGCCUGCGAUCAGUAACUGGUGUGAGAGCACGACCAGUCACACGGGCACUGAGACAC